rnacentral:rRNA from 1 species
GACGAACGCUGGCGGCGUGCUUAACACAUGCAAGUCGAACGGAAAGGCCCUGCUUUUGUGGGGUGCUCGAGUGGCGAACGGGUGAGUAACACGUGAGUAACCUGCCCUUGACUUUGGUAUAACUUCAGGAAACUGGGGCUAAUACCGGAUAGGAGCCCCUGCUGCAUGGUGGGGGUUGGAAAGUUUCGGCUGUUGGGGAUGGACUCGCGGCUUAUCAGCUUGUUGGUGGGGUAGUGGCUUACCAAGGCUUUGACGGGUCGCCGGCCUGAGAGGGUGACCGGGCACAUUGGGACUGAGAUACGGCCCAGACUCCUACGGGAGGCAGCAGGGGGGAAUAUUGCACAAUGGGCGGGAGCCUGAGGCAGAAACGCCGCGUGCGGGAUGACGGCCUGCGGGUUGUGAACAGCUGUAGCCUGUGACGAAGCGUGAGUGACGGUAAUGGGUAAAGAAGCACCGGCUAACUACGUG